rnacentral:rRNA from 1 species
CCUACGGGGGGCAGCAGUGGGGAAUAUUGGACAAUGGGGGCAACCCUGAUCCAGCCAUGCCGCGUGUGUGGAGAAGGCCCUCGGGUUGUAAAGCACUUUCAGUGAGGAAGAACGCCUGGUGGUUAAUACCCAUCAGGAAAGACAUCACUCACAGAAGAAGCACCGGCUAACUCCGUGCCAGCAGCCGCGGUAAUACGGAGGGUGCGAGCGUUAAUCGGAAUUACUGGGCGUAAAGCGCGCGUAGGUGGCUUGAUAAGCCGGUUGUGAAAGCCCCGGGCUCAACCUGGGAACGGCAUCCGGAACUGUCAAGCUAGAGUGCAGGAGAGGAAGGUAGAAUUCCCGGUGUAGCGGUGAAAUGCGUAGAGAUCGGGAGGAAUACCAGUGGCGAAGGCGGCCUUCUGGACUGACACUGACACUGAGGUGCGAAAGCGUGGGUAGCAAACAGGAUUAGAUACCCCGGUAGUC